rnacentral:sRNA from 1 species
UAUUGAGUAUAACAACUUAAACUGCAACCGGAUCUUAAAAGCCUAAGUAGUGUUUCCUUGUUAGAAGAUACAAAGCUGAAGACUCAUACGGAGUUUAGCUACACCAUCAAAGCAUUGAGAAGUAGAAGCAGCUUGGUUAGUGUUUUGGAGUCAAAUA